rnacentral:rRNA from 1 species
GCAAGCGUUAUCCGGAUUCACUGGGUUUAAAGGGUGCGUAGGAGGGCAGGUAAGUCAGUGGGGAAAUCUCCAAGCUUAACUUGGAAACUGCCGUUGAUACUAUCUGUCUUGAAUACCGUGGAGGUGAGCGGAAUAUGUCAUGUAGCGGUGAAAUGCUUAGAUAUGACAUAGAACACCAAUUGCGAAGGCAGCUCGCUACACGAAUAUUGACUCUGAGGCACGAAAGCGUGGGGAUCAAACAGG